GCUGAUACAUGCUUGUAGCAAGCAGAGCUGGGCAGCCGAGCCAUCUGCAAAUGGGAGCAAACAUCUGGAAUGGCUUCUUGUGGCAGUGGGACCGUCGCCGGUCUUACCGAUAGAGGCAGAGGAGAAACCACAGAACCUCGUUAGGUCCUGCAGGAGAUCCGGCAGCAGUGCCAGGAUACGUAAGUCGAGUUCUGGAGGUCAGAAGUCUGCAACGAGUCUCACUGGGCGAACAUCAAGGUGUCAGCUGGGCUGUGUUCCUCCUGGAGAGGCUGGGGGAGAACCUGUUUCCUCACCUUUUCCAGCCUCGGGAGCCCAUCCACAGUCCUUGGAAUGUGGCCCUUCCUCCGACCUCACAGCCAUAGUCACAUCACUCUGACCUCUGCUUCCAUGGUCUCACCUCAUUCUUGAUCCUCUCGCCUCCCUCGUCCAUCUUUUAAGAACCCUUGUGGUUACACUGGGCCCACUGGGAUGAUCCGGGAUCAUCUCCCCAUCUCAAGGUGGUAAAUUUCGUCACAUCAGCAAAGUCCCUUUUAUCACAUAAGGCACCGUAGUCACAGGUUCCAGGAUCUGGACGUCUUUGGGGACCAUUACUCUGCUGAUCCCGUCCAUAUGUGCUGAUACUGUCAUUUCCUGACACCCAUCUUUUCCGCAUUAUCUGUUGAUUUCUUAUUACUAGACUGGAGGAUUUCACUCUUAACAUCUUUAUUCACCUCCUCCCCUUACACUCUCAGUGUGUUAUUAUGACAUUGUAACAAUUGUUCCCUGCUGAGCCAACUCAUAUACUGUGAUUUCAUUUCCUUUCUUGUAGAGCAUUUUCUCCCCUGGACUUCUACUUGCUUUGAUCUCUGCCCUACAAUUUAGUAUGGUCAUAUUCCCGUGCUUCUCCCGGAACGCUCCCUGUGAGAGCCUUCUGACCUCAGGUCCCAUAGGGUUUCUGGGCACCGCACAGCAUGGUGGUUGGGUUUUAAGCAUGUACAUUCUGAGAGAGAGACAGAGAGACACACACACACAGAGAAGGAGGAGAGAGGUGGGAAGAGAGGUGGUGAGAGAGGUGGGGGAGAUGAUGUGUCGGGGGGGAUGGUGGAGAGAGAACACUGCUGCGUUCUAGUCCUCACAUUCUAUUCCCAAAGACCCUCUGAGUUUCAAGGUGGGCAGGGGAUAGACACCAUCUCCUAAAGGCAGUAUGCUACCUCCUGGAAGGAUAUUGGAGACCAGAAAUAUUAUAUUGACAAUUUUGGAAAAUAUUAACCUACCAUACAGUGUAACACAGUUGUUGUUUUCUUUUUUUUCUCAAACAAGAAAUUUGUUCUUUAAGAGAGACUGGGGCCAGUCGAAUAAAAAGUAUUUUUUACUCCA